rnacentral:rRNA from 1 species
AUGUUCCUGCCCUGUGUGUUUUCUUUGCGCAAAAAUACCGGGCCAUACCAACCUGCUUCUUCCCCCCUCUGCGCUAGCUCCAAGAUGCAUGUCUCGUCCUGGUGGAUUAACCGCGACCUCGACCACUUCGAUCCGCCGAUGCUCGGCACCGCUACCAAGAACCACCAAUCAGUCCUUGCUUGUGUCCAUGGUGAAGAUAAAGUCGCAGAAUGCAGAUCUUGGCUAACCCACCGACCACGCACACAUGCGUUGGUACGGCGCUCCGGGCGUGGCCCGACUUGUGCAGCGCGCUGA